AGUGAACGCUGGCGGUAGGCCUAACACAUGCAAGUCGAACGGCAGCACAGUAAGAGCUUGCUCUUACGGGUGGCGAGUGGCGGACGGGUGAGGAAUACAUCGGAAUCUACUUUUUCGUGGGGGAUGACGUAGGGAAACUUACGCUAAUACCGCAUACGACCUACGGGUGAAAGCAGGGGAUCUUCGGACCUUGCGCGAUCGAAUGAGCCGAUGUCGGAUUAGCUAGUUGGCGGGGUAAAGGCCCACCAAGGCGACGAUCCGUAGCUGGUCUGAGAGGAUGAUCAGCCACACUGGAACUGAGACACGGUCCAGACUCCUACGGGAGGCAGCAGUGGGGAAUAUUGGACAAUGGGCGCAAGCCUGAUCCAGCCAUACCGCGUGGGUGAAGAAGGCCUUCGGGUUGUAAAGCCCUUUUGUUGGGAAAGAAAAGCAGCAGGUUAAUACCCCGCUGUUCUGACGGUACCCAAAGAAUAAGCACCGGCUAACUUCGUG
rnacentral:rRNA from 1 species